UGCUAAGAGAGUGAAAAGGAUAAGUGAGAAAUUAAUAGAAAUUCUCGAAGAAAAAGAAGAAAAGUUUGAUUUGAUUGAGACUGGUAGGAUAAUGAUUGCUGGGAGAAGAAUCGAAGUCAUUGAGGGGGGCCGAACUACCUCUUUCUUCUGUGAACCACGAGUCUACGGAAGAGAAGAGGAUAAAAUAGAAUUUUAAUGAAUUUGAUUAGUAAUCAUUAUGAAUUUAUGGAUGUUUUAUCGGUCUAUAGAAUUGAAGGGCCAAAAGGAAUUGGAAAAACAACAUUUGCCAAACUCAUCUUCAAUCAUCCGGGGGUAGUUGACCACUUUGAGUUGAGAAUUUGGGUGCGUAGGAUUUUAGAUUUCAAUUUUAAGAGAAUUAUAGAAGCUAUCUUGGAAGCAGCUAUUGGGUGUGACUGUGAGGACUUGGAUCUAGACACAAUACAAAAAAAACUUCAAUGUCUUCUCCACGGAAAAAGAUAUUUGAUUGUGUUGGAUUUCAAUUGGUAUCGGGAUUCCGUAGAUGUUGACUGGCAGAGGUUGAAAUCAGAAUUGGCUUGUGGGAAAAAAGGUUCUUCCAUUUUGAUCACCACUCCUAGUAUCACCACUCCUAGUCCGAUGUAUGGAAGAAAGUGGGAUGGAGAGAUUCAUCAUAAAUUAUCAGUGCUGUCUGUCGAUGAUUCGUGGAAACUGUUUAAACAACAAGUCUUUGAAUCAAAUGAGGAAAUACCAUUUCAUCUUGAGGCAAUAGGAAGGGAGAUAGUACAAAAGUGUAGGGGAGAGCCUCUUGCGGCAAAACUAAUAGGUGCUCUUCUACACUCCACCAGAGAGAGAAAACAGUGGCUCAAUGUCAUGAGAAGCAACAUUUGGAAUUCACCACAAGUUCAUGACUCUGUAAAAUGUGCCAUGACACUAAGUUAUUUGAACCUACCAAUAAGACUCAAAAAGUGCUUUACUUAUUGUUCAAUAUUUUCUAGUGUUGAAACAAUAAGGAAACCAUAUUUAAUUGAACUUUGGAUGGCUAACGGAUUCAUUUCAUCUGAUGGAAGGUUAGAUGCUGAGGAUGCUGGUGAUGAUGUGUGGAAUGAAUUACAUAAGAGAUCCUUUUUUGAAGAUAUUGAGACAGAUGAAUUUGGCAACAAUACAGGUUUCAGGAUGCACUAUCAUGUUAGGAAACUUGCACGCUUAGUUGCACAAGAUGUACAAUGCUUAACAGGUGACAGUAGCUUUAUUGAUUUGUUGCAAAAGAUAUAGAAUGUGUGAUAGGUGACUCUAGAGUAACUUAUUCGUCUGCUAUCAGCCAUCUCUCAGAUUAUAGACGGAGAAUUGAAUUGAAUUCAAUUGGGUUGCAGCAAAUAAAAUCUUUGAGGACUUAUCUAAUACCAAAUCAAUACAGUGAUCAAAUUUCUCCUAAUGUAUUGAAAUGUCAAUAUUUGCGGGUGCUUCAGUUACGACUAAAAGGAGAAUUGUCACCUUCAAUCGGAGAUUUGAAGCAUUUAAGGUACUUGAAUGUUUCCAAGAGUGACUUCAAAACUCUUCCAGAAUUCCUGUGUAAACUGUGGAAUUUGCAAAUCUUGAAAUUAGAUUACUGUAAACAUCUCCAGAAGUUGCCCGACAGGUUGAUAGAGUUAAGAUGUCUUGAAAAGCUAUCUUUUAAGGGUUGCCACAAACUAUCAAGCUUGCCUCCUCACAUGGGGAAGUUGUUUUCCCUGAAGAGUUUAACUUCCUUCUUUGUUGGCAACGAAAGAGGGUUCCUUUUGGAAGAAUUGGGAGGAAUGAGGCUGAAAGGAGAUCUUGAGAUGAAGCAUCUCGGAAGAGUGAGUGUAAAGGAUGCGAUGGAAGCGAAAAUGUCAAGGAAGAGAUUGAAGGAGUUGAGGUUGUCAUGGGACAGAAAUGAAGAGACGAAAUUAGGAGAAAAUGUUGAGAAGAUUGUUGAAGUGCUUCAACCUGAUACCCAAGAGCUUGUGAGUUUGACGGUAACAGCAUACCCAGGUGGGCGUUUCCCGAGAUGGGUGUUGAGUCCUUUUUUGAAGAAAUUACAAAUUGAAAGAUGCAGAGAGCUGAAAGGUUUGGAUGAGGCUAUACAAGCCAUGACCGGCCUGCAAUGGUUGAGAUUAUAUAAUCUUCCAAAUCUAGAAUACUUGCCUGAUUUCUUUGAUGAUCUUCUUUAUCUUCGCCAAUUAGCUAUUGGCUUUUGUUGCAAGUUGAGGAGCCUUCCAGACAGCCUAUUAUGGAACAGAUUGGAAAGAUUGGAUAUUUACGCUUGCCCUGCCUUAGAGAAGCACUUGUGUCGUUGGCCAACAAGGUUCUCUGUUUCCGAAAUUAGAGUGGAUGGUUGUCUUAUUAAGGGAAAAGGAGACGCUUAUUAUUUUUAGAUGCAACUGAGUGCAGUUUCUUUUGAUGUCUUCACUCUAAUUUAUUUAUGAUUGUCGCGCGAAGAGUAAUAAAGAUAAUUUCCUAAAAAGAAUGUAAUAUUUUUAUGUUUAGAUAGAUACUCUAUGUAUUG